GACGAACGCUGGCGGCGUGCUUAACACAUGCAAGUCGAACGCUGAAGACCUGGCUUUUGUUGGGUUGGAUGAGUGGCGAACGGGUGAGUAACACGUGAGUAACCUGCCCUCUUCUUUGGGAUAACGCCCGGAAACGGGUGCUAAUACUGGAUAUUCACUGAUCUUCGCAUGGGGGUUGGUGGAAAGGUUUGUUCUGGUGGGGGAUGGGCUCGCGGCCUAUCAGCUUGUUGGUGGGGUGAUGGCCUACCAAGGCUUUGACGGGUAGCCGGCCUGAGAGGGUGACCGGUCACAUUGGGACUGAGAUACGGCCCAGACGCCUACGGGAGGCAGCAGUGGGGAAUAGUGCACAAUGGGCGAAAGCCUGAUGCAGCGACGCCGCGUGAGGGAUGGAGGCCUUCGGGUUGUAAACCUCUUUCGCUCAUGGUCAAGCCGCAACUGUGGGUUGUGGUGAGGGUAGUGGGUAAAGAAGCGCCGGCUAACUACGUG
rnacentral:rRNA from 1 species